rnacentral:rRNA from 1 species
CUACGGGGGCUCCAGUGAGGAAUAUUGCACAAUGGGGGGAACCCUGAUGCAGCAACGCCGCGUGGAGGAUGACGCAUUUCGGUGUGUAAACUCCUUUUAUAUGUCAAGAAAAUGACGGUAGCAUAUGAAUAAGCACCGGCUAACUCCGUGCCAGCAGCCGCGGUAAUACGGAGGGUGCAAGCGUUACUCGGAAUCACUGGGCGUAAAGGACGCGUAGGCGGGUUGGAAAGUCAGGUGUGAAAUCCUACAGCUUAACUGUAGAACUGCACCUGAAACUUCUAAUCUAGAGUAUGGGAGGGGGAGAUGGAAUUAGUGGUGUAGGGGUAAAAUGCGUAGAGAUCACUAGGAAUACCUAAAGCGAAGGCGAUCUCCUGGAACAUUACUGACGCUAAGGCGUGAAAGCGUGGGGAGCAAACAGGAUUAGAUACCCUAGUAGUC